rnacentral:tRNA from 1 species
AGUAAUAUGCCUGAUAAAAAGGGCUAUUUUGAUGAAGUAGAUUAUAAAUUAAUAUUUUAUUA